rnacentral:rRNA from 1 species
UACGUAGGGCGCAAGCGUUAUCCGGAAUUAUUGGGCGUAAAGAGCUCGUAGGCGGUCUGUCGCGUCGGCUGUGAAAACCCGGGGCUCAACCCCGGGCCUGCAGUCGAUACGGGCAGGCUAGAGUUCGGUAGGGGAGACUGGAAUUCCUGGUGUAGCGGUGAAAUGCGCAGAUAUCAGGAGGAACACCGGUGGCGAAGGCGGGUCUCUGGGCCGAUACUGACGCUGAGGAGCGAAAGCGUGGGGGAGCGAACAGG